AUCUUCCGUAUUGUUAGAUGUUUCAGAGACAACAGGAACUGCAGAUGCUGGAGAAUCUGAGAUAACAAGAGAUAGCAGGAACUGCAGAUGCUGGAGAAUCUGAGAUAACAAGGUGUAGAGCUGGAUGAACACAGCAGGCCAAGCAGCAUCAGAGGAGCAGGAUGGCUGACAUUUCGGGCCUUGACCCUUCUUCAGAAUCCAGAAUCAUUUCUGAAGAAUGAUUCCAUACCACAGCCAUAGAUGCUGCCAGACCUGCGACCUUGUUUUUGUUCCUUAACAAUCCUGUGAGAGCAGGAGCAGGCACACCCAUUCAAGGCUGUUAAAAAUCAAAGUCUCCCAAGCUAUUUACUCAAGUGAUCUUUGCAAGCUAACACUUCUGACUAACAACUGCUCUUCAAAAUAACAGGACAAAUAAGUCGUUAAAACCCACAGCAUCGGCUCACCUCCCCCUUAAAAAAGGAUCUCCAAUAUACAAAGAUGACUGUUUCUAAAAAGGAUCUUUUGUCUUACUCUAUCAGUGCACGGCAGUACAUGCGCAUUACAUAUACAUCAAAGUUUUGACAAUAAAUCAGCAAUUAUGUACUCUCAUCCUGUCACGUGGGUAAGUUCCAUUUGAAUGGCUACGAUUAUAAACUCCAACUAAACAGUGUGGAAUUUUUGUUCUUAAAUUUCUCCAAAAACAA